UCUCCUUUUGGUGAACCAAUAGCAAGAUGCUCUGGUAUAUCCUCAGAGCAAGUGUGGUAUACCGCGUUUUAUACCAACAUAGAUACUCAGCAACUAAAGUUGUUCAAAGAGUUUUUUAGUACAUUGCAGUAGGGUCAUGAGCAUGAAUUGCGGGCAUUGCACCAAGAAGCCCGGCAGAGGAAGAUGACGACAUAGCUUUCUGUGAUUCAUCACUUAUGAUCAUGGCAUAAGCCUGAUUUACUGAUGGUAGAGGUGUCAUCAUAAGUAUUUGGCUUCUUGCUUGCAUAUAGUUAUCAUUUAACCCCAUCAAGAACUGGUACAGUUUCUGCCUUUGCAGAUAGGCCAAGAAUUCCCUUGACUUGUCACAGUUGCAACUAGGUGGUGGUCUAAUGCUUCAAGUUCUACCCAUAGCUCUUUCAGCCUUGUGAAGUAUCCAGCUACACUCAGAGUACCCUGCAUCAAUGUAGCAAUGUCCUUAUGCAAGUUGAAUAUUCUGGAUCCAUCUAGUUUGUCAAAUCUUUCUCUUAGAUCCUGCCACACCUCACAGGCUGUAGUUGCAUACACCAUGCCUCCUAACAAAGAGCUUGAUACGGUGUUCAUUAACCAAGAUUGCACUAUGGCAUUGCAUCUUUUCCCAUUGAUAACCCAAUUCUUCACUAAAACUUUCUUUCUUCCAAGUACCAUCCACAAACCCCAACUUAUUUCUUCCUAACAAGGCAAUUCUCAUGGAUUUGCUCCAAAUAGAGUAGUUCUCAGAACCAGUAAGUUGUAAAGAAAUUAGAGAAAUGCCACUUACAUCAGCGGAAUGGAGAUACAGUGGAUGAUUAUGGUCCAGGACUUGAGUAAUACCACUGGUUGUAGGGGUGACAUCAACAGCAAUUGUAGACUCCAUUUUGUUUCAGAAUGAAAUGACAAUGACCUUCAAUUCUUGAGAUGCUGCGCAAUUCUUGAAAAAAUAAAGAAUCCAACCAGAUGAGGAAUAGCGGAACUCGAAUCUCAGAACUACAACUGAAUUUCAGUAGAGAUGACUAGAUCACUGCAGAGAUCAAGACAAUUUCCAGUAGCAAUGAUUCGCCGAAGAGGAUAUAUCUCAAAAUUGCAAGAAGAGAUUGCGGAAGCUAUGCAGAUAGUGUGGCUUUGAUACCAUGUAGAAUUUAAGAAUGAAACCAAGUAAAGAUCAUCCAGCUUUAGACAUUAAAGCUGUUAGAAUCAAAGAAGAAGAUAAAGGAAAAAAUGAAGAGGAAGAAGAGUAAGAAGAAGAGAAUGAAUAUGUAGCUGUAUAAGGAAGUAAAUUGUAUUGUAUUUAAUUAUAAUGUGUAUGUACAAGAGUUGAUGUAUAUAUAUAGCUGAGCUAAGCUUCUAGUCCCAACUGUUUUCUGGACUCAUAACUAACUCUUCACAGAAUUAGUUAUGCACAGUACUUGCACAGUAUUUUAACUAACUAUUCUAACUGCUAUUUCCUUGAA